GAAUCUUGGACAAUGGGGGCAACCCUGAUCCAGCCAUUCCGCGUGAGUGAAGAAGGCCUUCGGGUUGUAAAGCUCUUUCGCAAGGGAAGAAAAGAUAUAGGUUAAUAGCCUAUGUUGCUGACGGUACCUUGAUAAGAAGCACCGGCUAACUACGUGCCAGCAGCCGCGGUAAUACGUAGGGUGCGAGCGUUAAUCGGAAUUACUGGGCGUAAAGCGUGCGCAGGCUGUUUGGCAAGUCAGAUGUGAAAUCCCCGAGCUCAACUUGGGAACUGCGUUUGAAACUGCCAGACUAGAAUAGGUCAGAGGGGGGUAGAAUUCCACGUGUAGCAGUGAAAUGCGUAGAGAUGUGGAGGAAUACCAAUGGCGAAGGCAGCCCCCUGGGAUCAUAUUGACGCUCAUGCACGAAAGCGUGGGGAGCGAACAGG
rnacentral:rRNA from 1 species